GAUCGGCAAGAGCAGUGUGAAGGAGCAGGAGUGUGUAAUGUGCCGGUGAAUUGCCUCAAUGAGGAUGGGGAGGCCAAUUAUAUUGGAGUCACGACAAGAACACUUGUGACGGUUGGCCAUACCUCCCACCCGCUGCUCUUGGUUUGGCUUUGAGAUUCACUAUACGACGACUUUUGAUUGUUACGAAUCUUAAUUUCAAUCGUAAUUUCAUGGGACUCCAUCCACUGCAUAAAGGAUUCAAAUACGUGCUCCAUGUUGAAAAUACUUUUAAACUUUUAUUAAUCAAAUAUAAAUUAUUUUCAGAAAUUCUACAAAUUAACUCUUGCCUGUAUAAAAACACUACAACUGCAAUAACGAAGACCACCACAUCACAAAUUGCCAACAUUCAAACUCUUGCUGCCACUUGCAGUCCAAUAAUGAAAAUACAGUCCCAAUACUGAACAUAACAAUCUCAAUACCAUUAAUUUGACAAUGUUGAUGACGACGACAACAGCCAGUCAGCACUCCAAACACAACGAACCGGGCAAGACAAAACUGCUCCUGUCGAU
rnacentral:lncRNA from 1 species